rnacentral:tRNA from 1 species
GGAUUAUGGCUCAGUGGUAGAGCACUCACCUAGCAUGUGUGAGGCCCUGGGUUCAAUCCUCAGCACCA